rnacentral:rRNA from 1 species
UACGUAGGGUGCGAGCGUUAAUCGGAAUUACCGGGCGUAACGCGUGCGCAGGCGGCUUUGCAAGACAGAUGUGAAAUCCCCGGGCUCAACCUGGGAACUGCAUUUGUGACUGCAAGGCUAGAGUACGGCAGAGGGGGAUGGAAUUCCGCGUGUAGCAGUGAAAUGCGUAGAUAUGCGGAGGAACACCAAUGGCGAAGGCAAUCCCCUGGGCCUGUACUGACGCUCAUGCACGAAAGCGUGGGGAGCAAACAGG